GGCGGUAUGGUGAUCAAAUUUUGACAGAUUUUUGGGGAAUCCCAAGGUAUUGCGAGGUAUAGGAGCAAAUCACACAGUUUUGGAUCACCUACUGUAUUUUAGUGGCUUUAUUAGCCACAACUUCUAUAUUUCUCAAUGAAUUAUCUUGAUAUUUUAUAUGAGAUACCUUCAUACCAAGUGCUUGUCGUAGCUGUGGUUUGGCCUCUCGAUGACUCCAGUGUGAUGACUUAUGAUGCCAUUAACUUCAUCACCACCAAGCAAACAUUCAUAAAAAUCUCGUUUUUACCCUAUAUUUGCUUUCAUUUUAGGUUUAAUUAUAAUUAUUAUAACACAAGUGGACAGUGAAAAGCAGGUCAAGAUUGAGCCUCUUCUUUAGAAAUACCAAUGCAUUCACAGUGAAGCCAUUGUUCACACUUGUCGCAGCAUAUCUAGUUGUACGAUUUGUUAUGAAAAUUGCAUCAUGAAUAAUUUUUUUUUAUUUGGUUGUAGCUAUAAUUUUACAGUGGCCAACAAUUAACGUCUUUACAAAUUCUUUUCCUGAGCUACAUCACAUCUACUUCUGCCAUGAGUGAUCUGUUUUUUAGAAGUUGUGCAGCAUAAUGGUACAGAAAUCCCCUGCAACUAGAAGAAUCCUCCUGGAGUCUGUGUGGUGGGCAUGUCAGUUUCCAUUCCACCACAUCUAUCUUCGUUUUCUCUUUCGGUAAGGCUGUCAUCAUGGAGAAUGCCAGAUUUGCUCGCGGAGAAGACGAGGCAUCUGUGCUCUCCAGUGGAACCAAGUAUAAUAUGAGUCGCUCCUGCAUGGAUAUGGCCACCAGCACCCAGUGGUCAUCAGUAGGAUUCCAUGGGGCAAGAAUCACUGAAGCGGCACUGAUGCCAUCUCUAUCUCUACGGUCUGCCCAGAGCAUUCCAGUUGGCUGACCCCUCUCGUGAUCAUACGUGAUGUCGUAAAAACCAGAAAGAGAGAAUUUGAAAAGUUGGAGGCUGCUCGUUGAUGUACUGUAGAUGGCAACACUGAUGUGCAACUAGAAGAGAGGAGAACUACAUAGGAAGACGCAUGCUGAACAUGCAACCACCAGGUAGAGGAGGAAGGGGGAGACCAAGGACAAGAUGGAAGGACUGCGUGCAGAAUAACUUGAAGGAGAAGGGAUUGGCGACACACGAAGUGGAGGGUAGGAAAAAAAUGGAGGAGAAGAGUCCACUGCAGCAACCCCACUUGAGUGGGAUUAAUAAUACGAAUGAAGAAGAAGAAGAUCUGGUUAUUCUGUCUGCCGCCAACCCGGGUUUGCAGUUAUAUUUUGUCUACUAGUAACCCUCUACCCAUGUACAUCUUACUACCCAAUAGAAUUGAUAAUCUAAGCACGUUCCAUUCCAUGUAAUAUUAUGUUAUAUCUAGAUCACAUGUAUCCUACAAAAAUAGUAGAAGUAGGGUUAUUACUAUAAACAAGCUAGACGGCUUUUUUACACAGUUAUUACUAAGCUUCACUAGGUUGUCUUACUUUCAUGUAAACUGCUAUUACUACUGUCAUUCGCAAUAUAUACAGUUACUAUAUAUUGCAACGACAUUUUAUUUCGUCUUUAAAAACCUGUUACAUCACUAGAUACAGGUAGUAUUGCGUGGCAUGCACUGCGAAGAAAGUUUCAACCAAGUUUAAUAUGAUUAUUUUUCCUUCCUCUUCUUAUAUUAUGAGAUUAAGCUGGUCACUUAUUAGCUCUAGUAACUAUAACCCGCGUACGGUUGCCACUGGCUGUGGUUGCCAGCGGCAACCGUACGCGGGCUAUAGUUACUAGAGCUAGUCACUUAGGAGCAACCAUAGUGAGAAGACUACG